rnacentral:rRNA from 1 species
AGAGUUUGAUCAUGGCUCAGGACGAACGCUGGCGGCGUGCCUAAUACAUGCAAGUAGAACGCUGAAGAGAGGAGCUUGCUCUUCUUGGAUGAGUUGCGAACGGGUGAGUAACGCGUAGGUAACCUGCCUUGUAGCGGGGGAUAACUAUUGGAAACGAUAGCUAAUACCGCAUAACAAUGGAUGACACAUGUCAUUUAUUUGAAAGGGGCAAUUGCUCCACUACAAGAUGGACCUGCGUUGUAUUAGCUAGUAGGUGAGGUAAUGGCUCACCUAGGCGACGAUACAUAGCCGACCUGAGAGGGUGAUCGGCCACACUGGGACUGAGACACGGCCCAGACUCCUACGGGAGGCAGCAGUAGGGAAUCUUCGGCAAUGGGGGCAACCCUGACCGAGCAACGCCGCGUGAGUGAAGAAGGUUUUCGGAUCGUAAAGCUCUGUUGUAAGUCAAGAACGGGUGUGAGGGUGGAAAGUUCACACUGUGACGGUAGCUUACCAGAAAGGGACGGCUAACUACGUGCCAGCAGCCGCGGUAAUACGUAGGUCCCGAGCGUUGUCCGGAUUUAUUGGGCGUAAAGCGAGCGCAGGCGGUUUGAUAAGUCUGAAGUUAAAGGCUGUGGCUCAACCAUAGUUCGCUUUGGAAACUGUCAAACUUGAGUGCAGAAGGGGAGAGUGGAAUUCCAUGUGUAGCGGUGAAAUGCGUAGAUAUAUGGAGGAACACCGGUGGCGAAAGCGGCUCUCUGGUCUGUAACUGACGCUGAGGCUCGAAAGCGUGGGGAGCGAACAGGAUUAGAUACCCUGGUAGUCCACGCCGUAAACGAUGAGUGCUAGGUGUUGGAUCCUUUCCGGGAUUCAGUGCCGCAGCUAACGCAUUAAGCACUCCGCCUGGGGAGUACGACCGCAAGGUUGAAACUCAAAGGAAUUGACGGGGGCCCGCACAAGCGGUGGAGCAUGUGGUUUAAUUCGAAGCAACGCGAAGAACCUUACCAGGUCUUGACAUCCCGAUGCUAUUUCUAGAGAUAGAAAGUUACUUCGGUACAUCGGUGACAGGUGGUGCAUGGUUGUCGUCAGCUCGUGUCGUGAGAUGUUGGGUUAAGUCCCGCAACGAGCGCAACCCCUAUUGUUAGUUGCCAUCAUUCAGUUGGGCACUCUAGCGAGACUGCCGGUAAUAAACCGGAGGAAGGUGGGGAUGACGUCAAAUCAUCAUGCCCCUUAUGACCUGGGCUACACACGUGCUACAAUGGUUGGUACAACGAGUUGCGAGUCGGUGACGGCGAGCUAAUCUCUUAAAGCCAAUCUCAGUUCGGAUUGUAGGCUGCAACUCGCCUACAUGAAGUCGGAAUCGCUAGUAAUCGCGGAUCAGCACGCCGCGGUGAAUACGUUCCCGGGCCUUGUACACACCGCCCGUCACACCACGAGAGUUUGUAACACCCGAAGUCGGUGAGGUAACCUUUUGGAGCCAGCCGCCUAAGGUGGGACAGAUGAUUGGGGUGAAGUCGUAACAAGGUA